UACGUAGGGGGCAAGCGUUGUCCGGAUUCAUUGGGCGUAAAGGGCGCGUAGGCGGGAAUUUAAGUCAGAUGUGAAAACUGAGGGCUCAACUUUCAGAUUGCAUUUGAAACUGGAUUUCUUGAGGGCAGGAGAGGAAAGUGGAAUUCCUAGUGUAGCGGUGAAAUGCGUAGAUAUUAGGAGGAACAUCAGUGGCGAAGGCGACUUUCUGGACUGAACCUGACGCUGAGGCGCGAAAGCGUGGGGAGCAAACGGGAUUAGAUACCCGUGUAGUCCCU
rnacentral:rRNA from 1 species